CUUAUAUAUGUUGUGUUAUCUCGUGUAGAUUUUGAGAAAUGGAUUUGCGAUUCUUCUUCGUAUUCAAGGGAAGAUUUUACAAUAUAUUCUUGAAACGUGCAAAGAAGGAAUCGGUUCUCCUAUGUAUGGAUCAAUUUUGUGAAAGUAUGAAAUAGAAGGAAUCGAUUAUGUUAAUUAUGAACCGAUUCCUAGAUAUUCAAUAUGUUUUACCAUUGGUUAGGUUAUGCCUUCACUGUGUGUAUAACUGACAUACAAACCUCACGUUAACUCUUCAUUCAUAUUGAAUUAAAACAUACAAUUGAAUGAUUAACGUGAAUAUUGGAAGUAGAAAGAUGAAUUUUGAAUACAACCUUAAAUUCUAAGUAUGCAUUAUUUUUUCAGUUUUAACUAUUUUUUAUAACUGAGUUCCAAUAUAUUAAAUUAUUUUUUACAAUAACAUUUAAUUUUAAUUAAUCUUAAUAAGAUCAUCUUAAACACAAUUUUACCACGUCCAUCAUUCAAAGACAUGUUUAUACUUUGAAUAGAUAUUAAGUCAAUUUAAGCAAAAAAUACUUUAGGAUAAGCUCCAUCGAGACAAAAAGGCUAUAUGACAGCACAACACCUUUUAAUGCAAAUUUUGCAUACAGCUUCUAUACACCAAAUAAAAGAAUUAUAUAUGCACAGGUGUUUUUGUGAAAUUAAAUAUUUUACGAUUUUACGGGAGAGAAAAAUAUUUACAAUAUAGCUAUGUUAAUUUUAUUGACAAGAUUUUUUAUGUAUUUGGCUCACAUUUACAACAUUUCUAAAAAAAUAAUUAAUGACUACUUAAACUAACCACCCCUUAAUUAAAAUAUACAUUCCAUAUAUUUUUUUUUCAAAUCAUAAACUCAAUUCCUUUAAAUACGUGAAACGGUACUGAUUUAUAUUUUUUAUUUCGAGACUCUAAACGUAAAAAAAAAAUAAAAAAAAGAGCAAAUCUUUAUAAUUAAUUACUUGAAAAGUGAGAAAUAAGUAAGAAGGAAAGAAAAUAUUAUAUUAAAUAUAUUUUUAGUUUGAGUUUCUUUCAUUUAAAAUUUUAAUAUAUUUUAGAUUUUAAAUUUUAAAAAUAAAUAAAUAUUUAAUCCAAUUUUAAUUAUGUUAAAUUCUUUUUACAUAAAAAAUGAAAUACUUUUUUAACUGAUAUUAAAUUACAUACGUUAAAAAGAGUUUAACAUAAUUAAAUUAAAAUUACAAUAUUUAUUAAUUUGAAAAAUUUAAAUACUACCUUGCAUAUUAUUUUUUAUAAUAAUUUAAAAUUGUAUUUACAGAAAUUAAAAAGAUAUUUAUUUCCAGAAAUUAAAAAUAAUAUAAAACAAUGGGUGAAAAAUAAAAUUUUGAUUUUAGGAGAAGGUGAAAGAGAAAAACAUAAUUGAAAUUGAGAAAAUGAAAGUGAAAGUAAAAGAAGAGGCAUAGGGUGGUUGGGUAGGAACAGUAAAUGGAGAGGGCAGAGAGAAGAAGAUGAUGGUUCUUUCACUUUCACAUUCACAUUAAGAUUCAGAGUUUAUACCUACCCACUAUCUUUUCUUUACUUUUCUUUCUUGAAGGCGAAUGGGAACAUAAAGACAAGGCCAGAAGAAUGAGGACAAAAUUGUCCAUCACAUAAAAGAAUCCAAACGCAUUCAUUUCUUUCUUUGUCGUCUUCGAAAACCAUCAAAAGCAGGUGCACCCCCCUAACCUUAACCUUUACUUCACCUGUCCCAUUACCACCAAAACCCAACUCUCUCAAUUCCGUUACCCUCAUCUUCUCACCUCCAUUUAUUUAUCCUUUCCUCUUCCUCCAUCAACUACUUCACUUUCUGUCACUCCCACACAAACAAACCACUCAACCAUCUUUCUUUCUCCGAUGAAGCGUCCACAUCCGUCAACCUCCGUCCACCGUGACGACACCAGGAUGAAGAAGGCCAAGGCGGUGGUGAUAGAGAAUGGGGAAGAGGAGGAGGUGGAGCCCGUAGAGGGAUUAGGACGUUUCGACGAUAACCUGCUGUUUGAGGUUUUGAAGCAUGUGAACGCGCGUACUCUAGCUAUGGCAGGGUGUGUGAACAAGCAGUGGCACGAGACGGCCCAGGACGAGAGGCUGUGGGAACUGAUCUGUACGAAGCAGUGGGCGAACACUGGCUGCGGAGAGCAACAGCUAAGAUCGGUGGUUCUCGCCCUCGGUGGCUUCCGUCGCCUCCACGCUCUUUAUCUCUUUCCCCUUUCCAAGCCUCAGACAUCUCUCUCAUCUUCAUCUUCAUCAACCUCCUCCUCUCCUUGGGGUCCCACCAUUCCUCAGGUCAUUCGAUCGAAGCCCCUACGUUUGGGGAAGGACGAGGUUCACCUCUCUCUUUCGCUUCUCUCCAUUCGUUACUAUGAGAAGAUGAAUUUCAAUAACCGAACUAGAUGAUUCCUUAUUAUUCUACUAUCCAUUAUCCAUAAUCUGUAAUCCAUUAGAUGUGUUACCUUUUCUAAACCUAAUUUCGGCUUUCGACCCUUCUUUUUUAUUUGGUGCGAUUUUUAGAUUUCGGCUUUUAAUUCAGGCAAUUAGUCUAAGCUGGAUGUGUUUUGUAACCUGUACCUAUGUACUUUGAUUUGAUUAAUAAUAUAAUAUAAUUAAUAUUGGAAUGUCUCUGUAUCUCCAUGAUUUAUGACUACGAUGAUGUUUUAAAUAUCUUGUUUUGGAUGUUGGAAGAAUAGAUUAGGGUAUGGAUCUGAGGGAGGAAAAUGGAGGAUUUGGGAGUGUACGGAACAAGAAUUUGGGUGUGGUGGGGGAAUUGCCGAAAGGAGUGGAAGGAUGAGUGAUUGGCGGUCCUGAUGGUGUUUCUUCCGAAUAGGCACAAGGAGACAGAGGCUGAGGUCUUCUUGUUCUGUAAUAAAUGUCUGCUACUGCAUAUGUUUUCUGGCUCUUACUUCGGCCCAAUGGGUAAAGGACACACGAAUGAGUUUGCAUUUCUAUUGCCUCUGCAAAAGCCAAUUUUUUUUUUGAGGGAUGAUAUUUGUCGCUACGGGGAUCCUAUAUUGUGUUUUCCUCUGCUGUAUACCUAUUGCUUUUUUCAUUCUUUCAAGGGUGUUGUAUUGUAAUAUUUAAGUAUGAGCUAUGAAUAUCAAUAAUGUUUAUAUUAAAAUAAAAAUCAUGAUAAAUCUUUUUAUUUAAUAACUAUUUAUUAUAGAACGUUUAAUAUUUUUAUCUUAUUUUGUUUUAUAACUUGUUCUCUUCACAUGUUGAGAAAUGUGGGACUUUUAUAAAAUAAUUUUGAAAUUAAUCUAAAAUGAUAAAUCUUUUUAUUUAAUUAGUAUUUAUUAUAAAAUGUUUAAUAUUUUUAUCUUGUUUUAUUUUAUAACUUGUUUUAUUCACUUCUUUAGAAAUGUGGGACUUGAUGGUUGUUAUAAUAUAAUUUUGAAAUUAAUAUAAAAUGUAAAUGAUUUGUAUUGCUUUAAUUAAAAUUAUAUGGGAUACCAAAAGGUUGUCCAUGUCCUUUAUAUUAAUGGUGAUGACUAUGAUAAUUUUUUUUAAAGUAAAUCCUUAUAACGAUCAUUAUAUAAAUUCAAAUAUAUAAUCAUAUGAUAAAAAUUAUAAUAUACUAAAUAAUCAACUUAAAACAAAACAAAACUACUAGUUACACGCUUAAUCUCAAUACGAUCCAUAUCAAAAUAGUAAUACACAAUUAAUUUUACUAAAUAAUAAAAUUAUAUUUCAUCAAAAUACAUUAACAUUUAUAAAACAAAACAUAUAAAUAUAAACAACAAACAAUAAUUUAAAAUAUAUUUAUUCAAAUUUUAAAUUACUUUAUUCGUUAUUAAAAACAUUUAUUGUUUCACUCUUUUACUUCUAAUUCAUAGGUUAAAUAUCUUUUAAUCUAAUAUAUACUUAAACAGACUGGUAUUAAAACUAGUGGUACAAUAAAACCAUCACAUAAUUAAGAAUGAUAAUACACAGUAACUACUCUAUACCCGUCUUUUCAUAUUAUGCAAUUCAUUUGAUAGUACCUGUCCCUUGUGACUUUUUAGACAGGUACAUGUUUAUAAAAAUGUUAACAUAUACUAAACAAUUACAUAUAUUAAUAUAUACAUGUUAAAAACUAAUUUAAUCAAUUUUUACACAUUCUCUGUUUCAUAAUAUAAGAGUUUAAUACUUGUUAAAUUUAAAAAAAAAAAAAUUAAUUAUCAGAAGUUACACUUUCUGAAUUAUCUGUUUCAAUAAAACUAUACUCCAAAAUGUAAAUUCUACUGUAACCUAAUUAACAAAAAUCUAUGUAUGUGACUGUGAACUGUUUUGUUUUAACUUAAGAUUUGAUUGUAAUGUAUUUAUACUUUAUUUAUUUUCAUUAAAUCAUUAUAGUAAAAUUGUAAAUUCAUUUAAUAUCAUUAUAGUAAAAUCAUUUAUUUUCAUUUAAAAUCAUUAUAGUAAAAUAAUUUAUUUUCAUUUAAUAUUUAAGAACAAAUUAUUUUAUUUAUUAAUAAAAUUAAAAUUAUCAAAUAGAGGUAAUAUAAUUUUAGUUCUUCAAUUUUGAAAUAAAAUUCGAAUUCUUUCAUGUCCGAAACAUUGAUACAUUUUCAUAUUUGAAUUUUAAUAAAUGAAUAAAAAUAGUAUUUUUAACUCAAUUAAAUUAAAUAUUUUGACAUGUUAAACAAGUUUCGUAUUAACUUUUAUGAUAUUUAUAUUCUUUUGACAAAAAAUAUGUGUUUGACAUGUUAACAAACAAAAUGUAUUGAAUUAAAACGAUUAUGUUCAUUCAUUUUAAAAUUUGAUGAUCAAAAUAUAUCAUUUUAUAUUAAAAUUCAUGAAUUAAAAACAUAUUUAAUUCUUACUAAUAAUAUUUAUAUAAAAUAAAGUAAAAUUUAUUGAUAAAUAUUUUCAUUUAAUAUUUUUUUAUUAUAAAAUAUUUAAUAAUUUAUAGUAAUUACUCAAAAGAUAUAUUCAUAUUGCAUAUGCGAUCCAAUCAUUAAUAAAAUAUUAUUUUGAUUUAAAAUUUAUCAAAUUAAAAUUAAACCACAUAAUUAUGUUUUUUUAGGAUUAAUAGUAUUUUUAUAUUAAGGUUAUUUAUAGGAUAAACUGAUAUAUAUAUAUAUAUAUAUAUAUAUAUAUAUAUAUAUAUAUAUUAAUAUAGUUAUUCAUUUUGUGUUUAUUGUCCAAUUCCGAAUGAGAAAAAUGUGUUAAUUUUGACCUAAAAGGAGGAUAAUAUCGAUUUUUUUUUCUAAAAAAUAUAAAAAGCGCAUUCUGUUAAAAUAUAAAAUAAAAAAUACUGAAUAUUCUGAGGAAUUCAAGGAAAAAAAUGUUAUCAAUUUUUUCUUUAAUAUUUUCUAAUAAAAGUUUGAAUUAUAUCACAUGUGCAAGUAUCCUUAUUUAUAUGAUUUUUUUAAUGUUGUUUUAACUUAAUAGUAAUUUACUUUUUAGGGCCAUGAUUUACUUUGAUUUCUAAUUUUUUAAAUAAAAUUAUUUUGAUUUUUGUAUUAAAUUAACAUACAUGAAGGUAUCAUGUUUUACAGUUUAAAAGAUGUCAAAGUGUCAAAUUUUUUAAAAGUUGAAACAUGGGAAAUUUUAUAAAGGUGAGUUUCAAACGAAGUUUUAAAUUUGUAGUAAAUUAGUGUUUAAUUUUUAAGGGUAAAAUUUUAAAAAAUAAUUAUUAAACACUUGAGUUUAUAAAAUAUCAUUUAAUGGAAAACCUUCAAAAAGACAAAAAUAAUAAAACACAAUUGCUUUUACAGUGAUUCAUUUCAAAGCAAGUUACGUUCGAUUGUUUAUAUAUAUAUAUAUAUAUUUUUUUUUUUUUAAAAGAUUUCAUUAACCACGAAUGAUUAAUUGGACUUUACUUCAUUUCAUAAUACAGGCAUAAAGUAUUUUAACAUAUUAUAAGAAUAAAAUGUUUAAUUCUUUUUUAGAAGAUAUAAAAUUAAUAUAAUGAUGAUAUUAUAAAAAUUUGUAAAUUAAUUUUUCUUUUCAGAAAACACAAAACUUAAAUAGAACAUUAUAUAAACAUGUUGCAAUAAAAUAAUUCUUAUUUUCUUUUCUCUGAUUCUUCUUAUAUUUUUAAAAAGAUCCUUUGUUAUAAAUAAAAAAUAUAGUUUAUUGAUAGAAAAUAAAAAUCAUCAAAAUAUCAUUAGUUAUAAAAAUAAUACAAAAUGAUAAUGGUUAAUAAUAUACGUCAUGUAAAAAUUAUUACAAGUAGAAAAAAAUAUUUUUUAAAACAAACAAAAUUUGUAUUUAAGUAAACACCAAAACAAAACUACACUUGCCAUUGGAAUCGAACUAGGAAGUUUGGAAUCGGUUACUCUUGGGUUGAAAUCAAAUAUACUAUGCUAGUAACCCAAUACAACUUCUUCAAGGUUUUCUACAUAAGGUGGAAUCAAUUCCACAUUCCAUAAAAUCAAAACCAGAUUGGGUCUUGGUCUUCAACCUCCAGUUCCGGUUCAAAGUUCAGAGUCUUCAACCUCCAUGCUUCAAUCCUUGUUCACGGCUACACCAUGUGCCCUCACACACCAACCAACCUUGUUUUCAAUGAUAACUGAUGGAUAAUAUUGGUUUUUCACAAAAAUUUAAUGCAAAUCUUUUCUCUUUAGUGAAGAUUAAACAAUCCUUAUUAUAUCUAAUAAAUCUUUUCCCUUUCCUCUUCACAAAUUUGUUUAAACAAACAAUAAUAUCCACUCCAAUCCGUCUUUAUAGAUUCUCUUUAACAAUGUCAUUCUUUGAAACUAAUAGAUUAGAAUGAACCAUUUAGAUUUCAUGAGGCCAUAUGCAAUACAUUUUAUUGAUAUAUAAAUUAUUAAAGUGAAAUUUUAGAUUCUGAUGGAAUAAUAGCACCAACCUUAUAUAUAUAUAUAUAUAUAUAUAUACAGGCUUUUGUCGUAUCCUUUCAAAUUGGAAUGAAAAAAAGAAGAAGCUUAAAUUGAAGGUUAUAAAACAUAUUUGAACAUAUAGGUUUUAUUGGAUGAGUUAAUGUUUGUGGAAGUUGUUAACAAGGGAAGGUAAAAUGUUUUUGUGAAAAAUUUACUAAUGAGAAAAUAUGAAUAGAUGGCAACUAAACAUAAAAUAUGUGUGGCUUAAAUAAAUGGGAGAAUGAAUUCAUUUAAAGUAAAUUGUGAUUAGUUUUAGGUUAACAUUGAAUUUAUUUCCACUAAGAUAAAGUGUGGCGUAGUUGACUGAAUAGAAAGAAAAGACGUCUGGGUUGGUUUUGGGGUUUGGGUUUAAGGAGGGGAAGGAAAAAAAGAGUAAGAAAUUGAUUACUUUUUUGUUUGGGAAGGGAAGAAGAAAGACAGAAAAGCAUUGAAUCUGAUCGAAAGAGGAAGUAUUGAAAAUGGGGAUUUCCAAGACAAGCACUGAGGUUACCGACAAUUCCAAUUCCAAUAGCAAUAGCAAUAGCAGCACUCAGACUGAAACUGACAACCACAUCUCCAUUCCUGCUCCCUACGCCGAAGGAGAGAAGCUAUUGGUCAACCACUCUAAUCAUCUUUACAUAGCCAAGGUUCCCUUCUUCUUCUUCUUCUUCUUCUUCUUCUUCUCUUUUACCCCAAAUUUCAAAAGUAUCAUUCUUGAAACCCAAGUAUUUGCCUUGUUUAAAAGGUUAGGAAAGUUGAGUACAACAACGCUGAAGGCUGGCAAUUUCUCGUUCAUUAUGAUGUAACCUUCUCAACGUUUAUCUCAUUUUACUCUUCCUGUAACAUUUUCUCAAUCUUAUUUCUUCUCUUAAAUGGUAUUUUUGUUUUGUUUUUCUAUUCCAGGGUUGGAAGAAAAGGUGAGCCUGUAUGUUAUAUGUUGUUUUGUUCAACGUUCUAUUGAGAGGUUCUGGCUUGGUUCUCAAGUGUUCAAUUUUUUGCUGCAGUUGGGAUGAAUGGGUUGGAAUGGAUCGUUUGAUGAAACCCACUGAGGAAAAUAUGCGCAAAAAACGUGCCCUUGAUGAAAAGCACGGCAUUGGCAAGAAUCCGAAAGUCCCACGUGGUCCUCUGGCUAAAUCCAAGAGUACUAACGGUCAGACAGUUCUCUUCUGCACUUUUAUUGAUUCAAUCCCAUUGACUUCCUGUGUUUCUUGUCUAUAGUGGAGCUUGCGACUGUGUGAAAGCCAAAUUAAUUUGAGGCAUAACACUAGAAUUAGAUUUUGCAUGUGCUGUCUCGGCUGGAAAGUGCAGAGGUUGAUUUUGUCUGAGUUGUCAUUUAGGAACUCUGCCAAAAGGUUCAUCAUAGUUUUCUUGAUGCAGUGUUAAGUUGCUGAUGACUCAAUGUCUUUUGUGCAUGCCGAGGGAGAAAUUAUCGUGGUUUAGGACACCACUUGUUCAUGGUCCCAACUAAUGUCUGUAUACGUAUUCAAUUUUUAUAAUUUAUGAGAAAGAAUUAAUAACAUUUGAUUGUAUGUUAUUUAAAGAUUAACGACAACUUUAGCAGUCUAUAACCACCAACUAAUUUUUUUAACUGGGAUGAGGCUGACGAUGAGGAUUUUUAUUUUCAGUUUAAUGCAUUUUUUUAUAGCAGCGAAGUAGUUCUUGAAUGAUGCUCUCUAGUUCGUUUCUGCAGAGCCAUUUUAUUCGCAAUAAUCAAUAUGCAUGGUAAGAAACAGUUUUGUUGAGGACCUUCACCAUGUUCCCUCUCAUAUUUGGCCCUAUGGGGAAUUGGGGAUUACUUGAAGGUUACAUGAGCAGUUGGGGGCUGUCAUAAGACUGGUUGUUUCUUUUUGCAAUCUAUAUACCUAAUUACACACACACACACACACGUAUAUAUUAUAUUACGUGCUCUAUCUCUAACUUAACUUUUUAUAGUAUCCUAGUUCAGUGGUUUUUCCAAAAAGAUUUCGGCAAUGAGGAAAAUAUGAUUUCCCUUUGAGUUAUUUUUUUCUGUCAAUAUAUGUUGAAAACAGAUUGUUUUUGCCUUAAUUGGAAUAAGAGACUAGAGGAAUAUGAUUUGGAAGUAAAAUUGGAAGAUAUCACAACUCAAGUUUCCUAGUUAAAUUUGUGGUCAGUUCUACAAAAGGAUGGAGAAAUCGAUAAAGAUGUAACAUAAGAUACAAGUGGGAUGAUUAAAAUGUAGAAAGACGUUGUGGCUUAUUUGUGAUUGCAAUGUACCUACCAAAUUCUGAAGAAUCUUUAUCAUAUUGCUAUGAAUUGACUAAACUCUACGGUAGUGAAUGUUGGGCUUUAAAAGGACAAGAGAAACAUGUCGGAGUGAAAGAAAUAACAAUAUUAAAAUGGACUUAUAGUCACAAAAGACACAACAGGAUGUAAAAUGAUUGCAUACAAGGAGAGAUUAGUGUAAUUAAUUGAGGAAAAGAUGAGAGAAAAUUUGUUAAGGUAGUUUGGACACACAAAGAAGACCAUGAGAGAUACUGGUGAGAAAAGCUGAUUUGAUUAUUUGUAGUCCUGUUAAGAGGAAAGAGGUACCAAGGACGUGGAAAGUGGAAUCUCAUGAUAAAUAUUAUAUCCAGUGACAUCGUAUGAUUCAUUUAGUCAAUCUCAUGUUAGAGAGUAAGGCUUUGUGUUUUGAAUUAGUCACUGUACCCAAUAACGGUGAGUUAAUAAAGGGCACAAAAGAGCAAGGAGCUUAUGUCUUAUGGAUUAUACCAUACUGAAAAUAAUCAUGCGAGAACCACACCACAAAAGCUAACUGUUGUGGUUGGAGAUCUCAAGGCCUUGCAAACCCCACUUUAACAUCUCAUACUUUGAAUAGAGUCUCAAGAAUUUUCGUUAAUAGUUACCACUGCCCCUUUAUUUAGUGGGAUGAGUUCCAAAAUAAUAUAUAACUUGCCUAAUUAACUAAAGUAUAAUGACUUAUCCUUAACAAUAUUGCAUUCCACGAGUGAUUUCUAAGCAAAUAUUGGGGCCAAUGACGACAAAUCACUGUGCUUGGUUGGAGCAUCACUCAUUCAACUCAACAUAGAUCCGGUCGUGUGCAAUGCUCCGUGUCUGUGCUAAGUUAUUCUCUUUACUUAAAAGUCGGUUGUCAUUUGAUCUAAUACUCAAUGCAUUGCUUGUUUUAAUAUAGUUAUUAUUGUAGUUUGUGCUGUAAAUUAAAAGGACUUUCUGGUUUGUGACCUGAUGCAAAUAUGUAAAAGUCAACUUUUACUUAGUUUGUGUUCCUAAUAUUUCUGAGAUGUUUGGAAAUAUGAAAUGCAGUUUCAAGAGGCAGGAAGCGACGGAAUGAACCUGUCAUCAAGGUAGUCUCCCGUUGUAAAUUUCAAUUUGUAUAUGGCACUUGUGAUAUAGCCACUCAACUCAAAGUUCACGUAAUUCUUCAACAUCAAUACAAAUUCUUAGUCAAAUUAGUUGGACAAUUCUUGUGUAAAUAAUUGCAAACCUUUUUCGAUGAUGUUUUGUUCCGUGAGUAGGUAAGGCGGUGGUUCUUCAUAAUUCCUUUUUUCCAAAAGAAUCAGUAUAGUUGAUUUUAUUGCUUGAUUAUUUGUAGCCCAAAAUUGCUCUUGAUCCUGACAAGCUUGUCACCAUUCAAAUUCCUCCAACGCUGAAGAAACAAUUACUUGAUGAUUGUGAGUUUAUUAACCAUCUCGGCAAGGUAGUGAUAUCGUAUUGAAAAUGUUAAUAUAAUUUAUGAUGAUUACUCAGUGCUUCAUUUCUUUAGGAGCAAGUGGAUAUGCAUAUAUAGUUUGUGAAUAAAUAGUUAAUGAACACAGUUUUACUUUCGCGAAGUCAUUUUCAAAUUGUUGAAUAUAUGUUUUUUCCUAUGCAGCUCGUUAAACUUCCUCGUUCUCCUAAUGUGAAAGACAUAUUGAAAAAUUAUUUUGAUUACAGAUUGAAGAAAUGUGGCUCGUAAGUUUAUGCUGACACACCCCUCCAUUUUUUAAGCUUGAUGUACAAAUGUUUUUUUCUAUAUUGGGAAGUGAAGUGUGUAAAAUUAUUUCAGACAACGAAAACCUGGAGCCAGCAAUUAUUUUAACUGAAGUUACUAUUAUUUAGAGUAACCCCCUGCCUAAUAACCUAUUCACUAAUCUUUUACGCUUCUUUUUAAGUAUUGUUUUGGAAUAUAAUUUUUAUUUUUUUGGGUCGGUCAAGGCAUAUUCAAGUGGAAAGUUUCAGUUUGAUUAGUAUGAUGACAAUUUGUUUCUUAAGUUCUGUAUUUGUUUAGCUUCUUGAAUUAUUUCAUUACUACUCUGGCUCUCUGUUUUUGGUGCAACCACAGUAUUUAUAGUAUUUACGCAUGGUUCUUAUCUCUACUAUUUGAAAUAGGAUGGCUGAUUCAGUUGAAGAAAUUAUGAAAGGAUUGUGUCGUUACUUUGAUAAAGCACUUCCAGUGAUGCUCUUGUACAAGACCGAGCGCCAACAGUACCAAGAAGCUUGUCCAGCCAACGUGUUUCCUUCUGCUAUAUAUGGUGCUGAACAUUUGUUACGCCUCUUUGGUAUGCUCGAUUGUCUGCCACCAGACAAACUUACUAUAUGACGGGUUUCAAAUUUAGCUUAUUGUUGCAUCAAGUUGUAAUGGAAACAAUACAGACGGUUGUGUGGUUAUUCUGACCUGAGUGGAAAGCAAAGUGCUUAUGCUUCUGUCAAAUCUGCAUCUUGUACAUCUUUAUUAUGUUUAUCAUUAUUAUUGUUGUGGUUAUUAUCAUUAUUAUUAUGCUUAAAGAUUCUAAUUGUUGGUGCCUCUUUUUUUUCGGAAUUUGAAUUUUGAAGUUAAGUUGCCCGAGCUAUUGUUCCAUGCUAGCAUUGAAGAGGAGACGUUGACAGAGCUUCGGGCACAAUUACUUGACUUUCUCAGGUUCCUAUGUUCUUUCGUGAUGGAUUAAAACGAGAAAAUAACUCUGUUGACAGUUGACAUUUUACUAACAAUUUUUAAUGCAUAACUAUCCACUUUAUGUUGCAGGUUCUUGCAAAAAAACCACAGCACGUUUUUCCUUUCUACUUAUCAUGUUGCUGAAGAUAUUGAAAUCAGCUCCGACAAAAUAGGUGACUAGGCUUGUCGGCGACAAUUGAUUUUGCUUUGUACAUAGUUUCACAGAGCUGCUGCUUGGUAUAGAAUGUUUACACAGUUGCACUUUACCUUGGUUUUUAUGAAUAUGAUGUGAAAUUAGAUUUGCUAAGUGUAAGCCUAGUUUUGGGAAAUGACGUUUUCAGAGGGUACGGAGAGUGUACCAAUUAUGGAAGGAAAUUAGUACCUAAUUGAUCCUUAUGUUUAAAUACCAGUUGAUUUUCUGAGUUUUGUUUCAGAUUUUAACGUUUUCCAAACAAUGCAUGCUCUUAAAAAAUAUAUGUAUGAAAAGUAAAAAAUUAUAGCAUGAAAUAAAUAUAAAAAUAUUAUAUGUAUCAAAAUAUUAUUUCUCUAAAAAUAUAUAUGUUUCAAACUCUUUAAUUUAUACUUUCAACAUUCUCGGUAUGAUGACACACCAAGCGCCUUGUUGAGCAAUUGUAUGAGGAGAAUUUGUCAUCUUCCUCAAACUAUUGUCCUUUUUUUUUUCCUUUGUCUUUCUCACGAGGUGAAAUACUCUAAUUUCUUGGUAUCGAAAGCUUUGUCAAUUAAAAAUUGUGGUUGGUAUAAUUUUUAAAAUAAUUAUUAUUAUCAAAAUCAAUAAAUUUGUUAGUUUAUCAUUGGAAAAAGAGUGCAAAAAUUCUUAACUAUCACUAUAUACAGACUAUUUAUUCUAAUAAUUAUAUAUUCCCUUGCAAUUAAUUUAUGAUUGUAUUUAUCAUACUAUUCCAAAAUACUGAAUUCCUUGAUGGUUGACUUGAAAAGAAGACAGUGACAUGUACGAGAAAAAUACUAAAACGUUAAAGUGAUGAUUUUGUUUGUUUUUUUUUUUUUUUUUUUUUGUGUGAUGGGAUUCAGUUUGAAAUAAAAUUGUUCGCAUGAUUCAUCUUGAUACAAAUAACCUUUUUAUAUUUAUUUAAUAUUACUUUUUUCAUUUUUGUAAUAUAUGUUAAAAAUUGUGGUUGGUAUAAUCUUUAAAACAAUUAUUAUUAUCAAAAUCAAUAAAUUUGUUAAUUUAACAUUUUUUUAAGAGUGUAAAAAUUCUUACACUAUCAUUAUACAGACCAUUUAUUCUAAAGAUUACAUUCCCUUGUAAUUAAUUUAUGAUUGUAUUUAUCAUAGGAAAAACUUCUUUUAACAACACUUUUUUAACAACUUUUUAACAAUGCAUAGUGGCAGUCUGUGAUUGGUCCGUUUUAAAUAUUUUUUAAACAUAAAUUCAAAUAAACCAAUAAAAUGAUGACACGUAUCCUGUUGUCAAAAAAGUUGUCAAAAAGUGUUGUCAAAAUAUCAUUAUCCUUUAUCAUAUUACUCCAAAAUACUGAAUUCCUUUACAAUUGACUUGAAAAGAAGACAAUGACAUGUAGGAGAAAAAUAAUAAAACGUUAAAACGAUGAUAUUUUUUUUUAUGUGUGAUGGGAAUCAGUUUGGUAUAAAAUUGUUCGAACGAUUCUUUUGACACAAAUAAAUUUGUUAUAUUUAUUUAAAAUUACAAAAAAUUACCUUUUAAAUUAUUUUAUUUUUAUAAUAUAUAUUAAAUGAAUGUUAUUCUACCAUUACUUAUUGCUGGUUAUACAAAUUGAAUAAUGAUAAUAAAUUGACAUUAAGUUAACAUAUAUUAUUAGAAAAAAUAGUUAUAAAAUGAUAAUUUUUUGUAUUUAUAAAAGGAAAGAAAGAGAAAAGAAUAAUAAACAAUAAUGUUGCAAAAAAAUUACCUGUGAGAAAGUAUUAUUAUUGAUACAAAGUAGAAUAUCAUGAGCCUUGGAUUAAACUUUUGGAAAAGGAAAAUGAUAUUUUAACACCAUUUUUUUUAUACUAUUUUGACACUGUACAUAUGUCAAAAUGUGAUUGGACGAUUUCAAAUUAAAAAAGUUGAGGCAGGGAUAUAUUUGGAAGAAAAAAACCAAAGUUUUUUUUUUAAUUUGAAAUCGUCCAAUCACAUUUUGACACAUGUGCAGUGUCAAAAUGGUGUCAAAAAAUGGUGUUAAAAUAUCAUUUUCCUUUGGAAAAAUAUUCUUUGCUGAUUAAGAUUAGAUUUUUAAAAUGGAAAAUGUUAUUUUAACACUAAUUUUUGACACCACUGCACACAUGUCAAAAUGUAGUUGGACGAUUUCAAAUUAAAGAAAAAGAUUUGGUUUUUUUCUUCCAAAUAUGCUCUUAUAGUUUUUUUAGUUUGAAAUCACUCAACCACAUUUUGACACGUGUAUAUUGUUAAAAUGGUGUAAAAAAAUUGGUGUUAUUUUGAUGACAACAUAAUCAUCACUAUCAAAGAGAGUCUGCGCACGGAAACAGAAGGAAGUCGAUGCCAAAACCAUGAAGCAACUAUUUGAAUAUGAAGCUAAAUCAAUAGUCAACUGAUGAAAUGAAGGGACUCGUAACUCUAUAAAAUGAAAGCUUAUACCUUCUUGGACACCAUUGCAGGCAGUAGAAAUAUAUAUGCAUUGAGAAUGAUGAACGUAUAGAUUAUUGUUAACGGUGGAAUACUUUUCACUGAAUUGUUACCAUGUGCUUCAUCCUUCUCUUUCUCGUUAUGUCUCUGCAACUUUCAUUUUCAGCAGUAGAAAUCCUGCAUCAAGGUUCAUCCCUCUCAGUGGAGGGCCCCAACGAUUUCAUGCUUUCACCAAAUGCCAUCUUCUGUGCCGGUUUCUGUGCAGUUGGUCAAAACGCAUAUUCAUUCGCUGUUUGGUACGCCCAAACCAACGGCGAAACCCAGGAUGCAACCGUCGUAUGGAUGGCGAAUCGUGACUACCCCGUUAACGGCAAGGGCUCGAAGCUUUCCCUUCUUCCCAACGGCAACCUCGCCUUAAGGGACGCCGACGAAUCCCACGUUUGGUCAACAAACACCAUUUCACUGUCGUCUGUGCAACUGUUUCUCGACAAUACUGGCAACCUCGUUCUGAGUGAAACGAAGGGUGGCGGUGUCGUCUUGUGGCAGAGCUUUGAUUUCCCUACGGACACGCUCUUGCCUCAACAAGUGUUCACGAGAUACGUGAAGCUGGUCUCUUCCAGAAGCGAGAGUAACAAGUCCUCCGGUUUCUACUCCUUGUUCUUCGACAACGACAACGUUCUUCGUCUUCUUUACGAUGGUCCUGAAGUUUCUGGCCUUUACUGGCCAGAUCCAUGGUUGGCCACUUGGAACGCUGGACGUUCCACUUACAACAACAGUAGAGUUGCGGUGAUGGACACACUCGGCAAUUUCAGUUCUUCAGACCAUUUCUCUUUUUUGACAUCCGAUUAUGGCACUCUGAUCCAAAGAAGAUUAGUGCUUGAUCAUGAUGGAAACAUUCGUGUUCAUAGUCGCAGAAAUGGUGGAGAGAAAUGGUCUAUUACGUGGCAAGCGAAAGCUAGACCGUGUAGAAUUCAUGGUCUUUGUGGCCCUAACAGUUUGUGCUCUUACCACCAAAAUUCUAGUGUGAAUUGCUCUUGCCUUCCCGGGUAUAAGAGGAAGAAUGAUCACGAUUGGUCUUUUGGAUGUGAACCGAAAUUCUCUACUCUUUGCAAUAAAACACAGUCUCGGUUUUUGCAUAUAAGCCACGUGGAGCUAUAUGGCUAUGACUAUGGGAUUUUGAAAAAUUACACUCUCCAUCAGUGUCAGCAGUUAUGCCUUCAAUUAUGCCACUGUAAAGGCAUUCAGUAUACAUAUGUCUUUGGCAGUGGCACUUAUACUUGUUACCCGAAGUUGCAGCUACGGAAUGCGUAUAGGACACCGUAUUUCAACGCUGAUUUGUACCUGAAAUUUCCAGCAAAUAGUUCAUAUUCUUUUGAAGGAUCCACACACGAGCAGAGUCUUGACUGUUCUUCGAGUUUGAGCACGAUGCAGCUUGAGAGAGCGUACAUGAGUCAUGAGAACGGAUAUGUCAAGUUCUUGCUUUGGUUUGUAGGAGGAUUGGGGGCAUUCGAAGUUUUAUGCAUAUUUGUGAUUUGUUUUUUAAUGGUGAGAGCAAGGGAGAGAAAAUAUUCUGGUGUGGAUAGACGAGUCUAUCAUUUGGCCAUGACUGGUUUCAGAAAGUUCAGUUAUUCUGAACUGAAACAAGCGACGAAAGGGUUCCGUGAGGAGAUAGGAAGGGGUGCAGGAGGGGUUGUAUUCAAAGGUGUGUUGUUGGAUCAAAGAGUUGCAGCUGUGAAGAGACUGAAGGAUGCGAAUGAAGGAGAAGAAGAUUUCCUGGCAGAAGUAAGCAGCAUUGGAAGGCUUAACCAUAUGAACUUGAUUGAGAUGUGGGGGUAUUGUGCUGAGGGAAAACAUAGACUCUUGGUGUAUGAGUACAUGGAGCAAGGGUCGCUAGCACAAAAUAUGGAGUCAGAUGAACUAGACUGGACCAAGAGGUUUAACAUAGCACUAGGUACAGCAAAAGGGUUGGCUUAUGUUCACGAGGAGUGCUUGGAGUGGAUUCUACACUGUGAUGUAAAGCCCCAAAACAUUCUUCUAGAUUCUAACUAUCAUCCAAAGGUAGCGGAUUUUGGGCUGUCAAAGCUGCGAAACAGAAAUGAUACUAGUACAUACUCUAGUUUUUCACGGAUACGAGGAACAAGAGGUUACAUGGCUCCUGAGUGGGUUUUGAACCAACGAAUCACGUCCAAAGUUGACGUUUAUAGCUAUGGAAUUGUUGUUUUGGAAAUGGUGACCGGAAAGAGUGUUGAUGGCACUGAUAAUGGAGUGGUGGCGUGGCUUAAAGAUAAACAGAAAAAUGGAUGCGGUUGGGUUGGUGAAAUAUUGAAACCCAAUGUAAAAGGAGUUUACGAGGAGGAUCAGAUUGAAGGUUUGCUGAGAGUGGCUCUGCAAUGUGUGGAAGAAGAAAAGGAGAAAAGACCCACAAUGAGUCAAGUAGUAGAAAUGCUUAUCAAAUGUAAACGCGAAGAUGAUAAUCUGCAUCAUCUCUCAUAACUUAUGGUAUCCAUGGCCAGUUUACACAGAAAAUUAUGUUUUAAGAACUAUAAAUAGGCCAAUCUCUUUCCAAAAAUAAAAGUAAAAUAAAAGAAUGUGUUGUAUUUGUAUAAAUUUAUUAGAUACUUAAUAUAUCAUUACAAUUGCCCAUAACUUGUUUCAAUCUUAAUCAUCAUAAAAAUAAGGUUUUUACUAUUCUUCUAUAACUAUAAUUAUAUAAUAGAAACAAUUCUAAAUUUCAUCAAGUUUGUUAAGUUUAUCAAAGAUACAAAGAGUAAAAUGUGCUUAUAGAUUUCCUUUCUACAAUUAUAACCAAAUAAAUUUUAAAAAAAAAGAUUUAGUUUAAUAUAAUAAAUAUGGAUAUAUUGUAAAUAUAAUAAAAAAAUUUCAAAAUCCAGUUAAAAAACUUACCGAAAAGAAAUUAUGAGACUAUUUGUGAGAUUUUUCUUGUGACGGAAAUACGGAAAAAUGCGAAAUAAACUUAAUUUAAUUAUCUCAUAAUAUAGCAAAGAUUUGCAGCGAUUUGAAUGUAAAUGUCGUAUUUCUCCUCAUUUAUUUAUAAAAAAUUUAAAAAAAAAUAAUGAAGGAUUUUAUCUUCCACAUGCGUUUUUAAAGUUGUUUUUCACUUUAAUUUUUUUUUUUAAUCCUAUCCACAGUUUAAUAUUGGCCAUUUACUUUUGUUUCAAAAUUUGGUACAAUUUCUUAAAAGAUUUUGUGAUCUCCCACGAAGAGACCACAACCAAAUUCCACAUCACUACUUCCAUGUCCCUCAACAACUCCAUGCAACUUUCAUUCUUACCCCGUAUUCUUGGCCUGGGCUAAAAGCUCAGCAUUCAUGACAUUGCAGGAGGCUUUCUUCCCUCACGCCAUCGGAAGCUCCGUUCCCACCUCCACCUCACUCGCAUACCAUUUAGUGUCUUUGGUGCAUGAAGAAGCUUGAAGAUGGAGAUGGAGGUGCUAUGUGGCGCACAUGGAAGACAAUAAGAGGUAUCGGAAGAUUAUAAUCUAGGGUUUUUAUUAUAAUUUAAAUAGAGGGUAAAAUGGAGAUAUCAAAUUUUAUGGGGUGCAGGAAGAAAAAAGAUAGAUGCAGGAAGAAAAGACCCAUUAUUAAAUAAAACGAGAGAAACGAAUUACAUUUUUUUUUUUUAUCGUAGGUAUUGUGUACAUACCACAUGAGUCAUACAAUUAGAAGAUCAUGUUUUAUAUCUCAUCCAACUAAACUAGUGUAUUUUCUUUACAUAUUCUUUGUCACUCUUAAAAAUGUUUAAAUAGAUAGUAAUUAAGUGGAGAAGAAAUUUUGUAUGCCAUUAGUAUAAUUAAUCAGAUAAAUUGUGUGUACUCUUUAAACAGAGAAAAACUGAAUAUAUAAGAUGUUUUAUACAUUUUAUCAUUUUAUCAAAUUUAUCUAGAUUUUAUAAAAUGAUUAAUUUUAUUCUCUCUCUUUUUAAAGUUUAUUUUCAUUUUUUAAAAACAAUUUUAAUAGUGUUUUUUAAUUCUGAUAAAGAUUAUAUUAUAGACAUGAUUUGAGUUGAGCUAUAGGUGGGCGAAUUUAACAUUCAUUUUGUCUCAUUAAUGUACAUGAAUUAUGUUUUUAUUUAUUUAUUUCUAAACAACGAGUAACAUUUUUAUAUUUUAAUUAUAAUUUUUGAAAAUUUAAACGCGAGUCUAAACUUCAUUUUAAAUUUUAAAUAAAUAUGAGAAAGUUGGUUAUAAAAAGAUUCCUGCAUACAUUAUUUUAAAAUUUUAAGUUUAAAUGAUGUUAAACUUUUACAUAAAUUAAGUAUCUCAUUAUUGUUAAGUCUUACCAAUAAAUCCUUAAAAAUUCUAUUAGUAAUAUAGAGUCGAAUAUUAAUCGUAAUAAAUCAAAGUAUUUGUUGCAUAAUAGAAAAUAAAUUAUUACGGCUGCAAACAAGAAAUUCUGUGUUAAACAGUUUCAACCUGCCCUCACGAGCAACCAACUCACCAAUCUUAAAUAAGAACUAACACCUCUUAAACUCUACUUUUUUAAAAGCUAAUUAUUUCCUUAAACGAAGGUUCGACACUGUUAGUAAAAGUAUAGAAAUUAAAACAGUAGGUACCAUUACAUUAAUUUUUCGAAAAUUAGGAACAAAUUUUUUUGAAGAAUAAUUUGAAAUAUUUUAACGAAAAUUGGAAUAAGAAAAGUAUUUAAACUAAAAAUAUAUAAAGAAAAAUAAGACAAGAAUAUGUACAAAUUUGUGUUUUCAUCAUUAUUGGUAAAAUCUGAGUUCCAACUAAAACCAUCCACUGCAAAAUUUGGGUCAAUUUAAGGCGGCUGUUAAUACUUAUAAUAAUAAUAAUAAUAAUUUGCAAAUCAGCUUCAUUUUCUAUUUGUCUUUGUAUUUUUGUCUUCUACUUUCGUAUAGAGUCAAUCAACUAAUAUAAUAUGCAUUUGUAUUUACUUUGAAUAUCCAUUUAUUAAUAUUUGAUUUUUAUAAAAAAAAUAAUAAAUUUUCACCUUUUGUAAUAUCUCUUCUUUAACACUUUUUACCCCUCAAAGUACAAGUUAAACCUACUUAAAAUACCAGAUUCAUCGUUACUACUCCAUUCAGUUUAUGUAUUGGUAUGUUUAGUAUAAUCAUUAUAUUUAUCAAGUAAUUUAGUAAUUAACUUGGCAAAUGACAUUUAUUUUAGCUUCAAUCGGUGAAAUUAGUGAAGUUUAUUUAUUUCUUUUUUGCUUGACGUCUUAAGUGAUCACUUUAUAAGUUAAUUUUAUAAAAUUGAGUUAGGUUUAAAAUUUACUUUCUUUUAAGAUUUUUUUUUUCUCUUAAUAAAUUAAGAUAAGACUUAAUUUUAUUGGCAAAUUUUAUCUUUUCAUUAAAUUAAAUCAUUUUUAUUCAUUUUACUUUUAUCUUCUUGAUAAAUGCUAACUCAAAUACAUUGUUUUUUUUUUCAUAUCAAAAGAAAAACAAAUGAAAACAUUUUGAUCAUUUAAAUAAAAAUGAUUUAAUUUUAUUUAAUUAAUUUUAUCAUAAAAAAUUAAUUUUUUUAUUUAAAAGUAAAUUAAUUUUAUUCUAAAAUUUAAUUAAAAAAUUUCUGUUAUGUUAUUUCGUCAAUGUUUGAUGAGAAGUUGUUUAUUUUCAGUUAUCAAGUUUUACUGUCUUUCACACACUUUAUUAAAAAAAACACAAAAAAAAAA
rnacentral:lncRNA from 1 species